GUAUGUGGCCAUACCACCCUGAAUGUGCCUGACCUUGUAAGCUAAGCAGGGUCGGGCCUAGUUAGUACUUGGAUGGGAGACGGAGUGGGAAUACUGGGUGCUGUAGACU
rnacentral:rRNA from 1 species